rnacentral:rRNA from 1 species
CAUGCAGUCGAACGAUGAUGCCCACUUGUGGGUGGAUUAGUGGCGAACGGGUGAGUAACACGUGAGUAACCUGCCCUUAACUCUGGGAUAAGCCUGGGAAACUGGGUCUAAUACCGGAUAUGACUCCUCAUCGCAUGGUGGGGGGUGGAAAGCUUUUUUGUGGUUUUGGAUGGACUCGCGGCCUAUCAGCUUGUUGGUGAGGUAAUGGCUCACCAAGGCGACGACGGGUAGCCGGCCUGAGAGGGUGACCGGCCACACUGGGACUGAGACACGGCCCAGACUCCUACGGGAGGCAGCAGUGGGGAAUAUUGCACAAUGGGCGCAAGCCUGAUGCAGCGACGCCGCGUGAGGGAUGACGGCCUUCGGGUUGUAAACCUCUUUCAGUAGGGAAGAAGCGAAAGUGACGGUACCUGCAGAAGAAGCGCCGGCUAACUACGUGCCAGCAGCCGCGGUAAUACGUAGGGCGCAAGCGUUAUCCGGAAUUAUUGGGCGUAAAGAGCUCGUAGGCGGUUUGUCGCGUCUGCCGUGAAAGUCCGGGGCUCAACUCCGGAUCUGCGGUGGGUACGGGCAGACUAGAGUGAUGUAGGGGAGACUGGAAUUCCUGGUGUAGCGGUGAAAUGCGCAGAUAUCAGGAGGAACACCGAUGGCGAAGGCAGGUCUCUGGGCAUUAACUGACGCUGAGGAGCGAAAGCAUGGGGAGCGAACAGGAU